GAAAAAAAAGAGUUAUUUAAUGGAAAAGAUUUUGAAAUCCAGAUUUAAGAUGUAUAAGAUCACAAAAAAAAGAAAAAAAAAGAAACAUCAGAAGGAGUAUGAUAUGCGGCAAGGUGGCCAAGCUGGAUUAAUGUCUAGGCUGCUUUUGAGACUGAAUCACUUGGGUUGCCUAAGGAUGCUUCUGUAUAUUGCUGAGAUGGAAUUCUGCAUUCUUCACAACCUAGGCAAGAACUUGGUGCACUCCGACUGAUGUCUUCCAACAUUUCUUCUAAUUCAGGUUUGGAGAAUGAUAUGAGGUUGUUUGAGUGUAAUUAACAUCUGAGUUCUGCUUCUAUUGUCAACUUGCUCACAGAUAAUUCUCUUCAACUAAGUGCUUGUGUCUUAAUUGAUUUUCAGACGUUCAGUUUCCAGAAUAACUCCUUAUUCUUCAGGUGUAUCAAAUUGUCCACAAUCAGUAAUUAACCUUCAGUCAAUAGGAUUCAGCAGCCUAUUUCGCGUGUGUGAAGGUAAAUGGGCAGUACGCUAGAGACUUUCUGAUGGAUCCUGUAUUUCGGGACUUUCGAGUGUGGCUGCCAAGAAGACACCUAGCUCCACCAUCCUCUUGUUCCUCCUGAAGGCUUCUUCUCUGUUCUAUGAGGACCAUUACAUGAAAGGCGCAAAGUUGGAUGAUCUGCUCAUUACUGAUAUCUUUUGGAGCUGUCAAGAUUUUCUUGAGUAGUUAAUGGUUGAAUGACAAUUUGGCCUAUUCCAUCUUGAAGCUCUCUUGAAAUAGACAAGCUGACUGAGUUAUCUACACCUGAGCAGCUCCCCUCAUCCAGAUUUGAAUUGCUAUCUGGAAGCUAAUUUCCAUCCUCUAUGAAAGGUAAAAAGGACUGAAAGUUAACUGAACCAUUCCAGUGGUUCUGCAGGAUUUGAAGAAGAUCAUCAAAAGCAUAAGUAUAAUGGACAAAAAAAACUGAUUAUUUCAACUCUUUAGUAACUCCAAGCUCAUGGUUUUGACCUCCUAUUGCUCCGUCACCAAUCAUCUCAUCUUCAAUUUCAAAUUCAUUCUUUGACUGUAGAUUUUACUUUCUUUACGGGCUUAGAACUCACCAGUUACAAAUCAGCAAUAUGAAAUUGGAUCUAGAAGCAAACAGUCACAUGAAUCUGGUUUUCUCUGACUUAUGGUAUUGAUUCUAUAUUAUUUUUCCCCUCAUCCUUCUCUUCUCUAAGUUCAGUUAGAGGCAAUUUGCAUUCAAUAGUCUCUAAAAUUGGAAUUAGAAAUCCUUGACUUCCAUCUAUCUCCUCAGAAGGCUUGAAAUUGACAUGCCCAUCAACUGUUGGAUUCUCGUCACCCAAAUACAUCAAUUCACAUCUAAUAGCCACUGGAAACUGCAGAAAUAUCAGUAUUCCUAGACGAGUCUUCCCAUGCAAAACAUAUAUCCUUCCAACUUCAGCUUCUAUGCCUUUGCCGUUACGCAAACAGAACUGUUUCUUAGCUUCAGCCGGAGGAGUUGGAAUUCUGGACCUUCGCGAUCUGGAUGGCUCAAAUUCUCAGAAAAUAUGUCAAAUGCAUCCACAGCCUUCUCUGAUUCAAUCAGCUGAUUCGUCAGAUCCUAGUUUAUUUUCAUCGCUUCAGUCAACUUCUGCCGACUCUAGAGGUCCCAAUAUUCUGCUAUCAGUGGCUUACUUAUCAAUUCCCUGCAUGUAUGCUUUCCUUGCUUGUCAAGUGAAUGCUUGAUGGUUCUUCUGCUUUUGUGGAUCCCCAGAGUUUGAAAAUCAUUCCGCAAUCUGAAAUUCUACUUCAUUUUUAAUGUUUUUAUCUUCUUCACUCAAGGAGUUCUUUGAGUCGCCUCCGAUUGCAAGAUUAGAAGGGGUAAAAAGAUCGGACUGGUUUGGUCAGGAAGGGGAGCAGGUUUCUGAGACCAGUUCGCAGAUUCCAAUCUAGCAAGACAGUCAACAGAAAAAAAAAAAAACUUGGAUCCGCCUGGAGAGGUUAUUGUGAUACUGCCACUAUCAGAACUUGUAUUUGUUACUGCUUUCAAAAUGGCAGCCAAUGCAACAGAAUUAAAUAAUUCCUUUCUAUCUCUUUCUUCAUCAAUGUCCACUUCUUCAUCUGAAUCACUUAUAAUUUGGCCACCAAUUCUCUGUGAAUGAUCACGAGAACUCUCUGCACUAGAGUGAGAACCUCCACCUAAUACUUGCUCCAAUUCCUUCAAGAAGUGUUUGGCAGCUUCAGAACCUUCAAGAACCAUACCUUUAAACUCUUCAUCUGUAACUGAGCCUUCAAUCUCACUUUCUUUAUCAUCUUCAUCUGAGUAAUGAUCGGUUUCAUCUAGUUUUAUUGUUGUGUUAAAAACUGGACUGAGAUCCGCAGAUUCAAGUGACUCUGAUUUGCCAAAGACCGCAUUUUCCAGUUCAGCGCCCUAUGCAUUAACAUGUGUAAGUCUGUUUUCUAACUGUUUUGACUCAAGUGUUAGGUUCUCUGUGGUAGAUUCAGUGUCAUUUUCCACCGCUUGGUCUUCAUUGCCAACAGCUUUUUUCCCUCUAUGCACAAAUUGUACUCCAUCAGCAACUACCUUUACAAUACGCUCAUUCUUUGUGGCUUCAGAAUCAGCUUCUGGCUUGGUUUCUAUUUCUUGUUUUUUCCUCAUUAUUACUUAGACCAGCAGUUUCGCUUUUAUCUGUACAGGCAUCCCCUUUAGUACCAUCCUGGUUAUCAACUAUAACAGUAUCACGGACAACAGCACCAACAUUUAGUUCUUGAUCUUUCUCCACACCACCACCAGUUUUCUCUUAAAUUGAAAGUUCCUGAAUCUGAGUCAAAAUCAUCAUUACUGCUAUAUUUUCUGCUAUUCUUAAAGUCAUCAUCAGUGUUUCCAGAGUCAUACGAAAAGCUAGAAAUCUUUUCAUAUAAAGUAAUUAAUGUCACUUGAAAGAGUAGAAUACAUUGGAAGUUCCAACUCCUUGUUUGUAUUCUCACAUGCCUUAGCUGGAAAUUGAAACACCAAUUAUAAGGUUUCUUCAAGCUUCAUGCUGUCAACCUCUUCAGCCUGUGGUCUAGUUUCAGUUAUGGCAUUUGUUUGUAGUGUCCUAUUUUUCCGUAUUAGCCUCAAAGAUAUUCACAAGCUUGUCCUCCAACUGUGCUUCCUAUGAGCUUGACUCUUCUGUUUCUCUUUUCAUUUCUACGUUGAAUUGAUCAAGGCAGUUUGGCGGGAUGUCUUCAGCAUUUGUGCUAGUAAGCAUUUUUAGCAUGGUUGACACAGCUAAGAUAAUCACCACCUUGCAAACUGAUUUCUGAAGCACAAAGUAGCAGCUGGAAUUUUCGGUAUUGGCAACAUGUAUCCUUCUUUAAAUAUAAGUGAUUGGGAAUAACCAUAAAAUUUAGCUGCUCAAUUACUGUACGAAAAGGUCUUAGAGAUCUCUCUUCAUGUGCCUUCUGUAGAAAACUAAGUAUCAACAAGUAACGCGCAUUACGGUUCCAAGACUCUCUAUGUAACUACUUCUGUAGCUGUGGUAUUGCCUCUGGUCUACUCAUGCACCAGUAUCUGCAUGUCGGGAAAGAGAAUUUCUGGUUGCUCACUGCCACUGGCAAAACAAACAACUGCUCUAGCACCAAGGAUCUCAAAUGCUGAUUUUGAACUCUCUUUAUUGGGAGAAUGGGAGGGGUCUACAAUACAGCACCUAUUAGCAUUAUGAGCAUCUUCCCCUUUGUGAGAGAAUAGUAAAGAAUAAUCGAGAAGAUUCCUUAUCAAAACACUGUUCAAGGAACAUGUGAAGAGCUUUUCUAAGGUGAUGAAUUCCAUUUUCAGAUCAAAGGCAGUGCUCUGAUCCUUGUUUGACCAGUUUACCAAGUGCUACUAAACAACGCAUUCUAGCGAUCUCAGCAUUUUCAAAAUGCCCAUUAUUGCUGAUUCCUGCCCAGAUAUUUUAUACAGAAAUAUAUGCAUGAAACUAACAGAAGCGGCCCUAGAAGUCUGUUCUAUGGUAGAAACAUUUGCAGCUAGAUCCAUUGCCACAGACAGAGCAAAGUCAUUUUCACCGAGAAGUUCAACUGUUUCUAGUACCAUCGUUCUAGAUUCCGGGCUUAUAAUCAAGUAUGCACAAUACUCAUCAUCCUUAGUAACCAUCUUGGUAGAAUCAGCAUUAUGACCACGUGUGUUUUUGUGAUAAACUGUCCAAAUUCUUUCGCAACCAGGAAGUUCAACCUCAGUGAUCAUUUCCGGACGAAUUGAUUGCUGCAGAAUACAGAGAGUACCAUUCUUUCCAUGACCCGAACAACACAUCAGUUCAAAAUUACUUUGUUUAACAAUGCCAGUUGCUUUUAGGUCAGCAUUAAUUCGAAGACCAUAGGCGAAGUCUUUCAACGGACCAACAUUGAUGAGUGAAUCGUUCACUGAAAAUGAAAAUGUCUUCUCUGACGUUUCUGUGCUAUUUGGAGCCGAACCAUUCAAUGGCAGCUUAUCACCUUUGACCAUAUCUUGCAAAGCAUCAGAAGAGGAUCUGCGCAAUCGCUUUGCUGAAGGCAGAUCACCUUCAAUAUCUCCAACCUUUUUCUCCACACUAGAAGACGGUAUGGAAGUAAAUUGCACAAGCAAACUAUCUCCCAACUGACUGCCUAGAAAAAAUAAUGAACUUCCAGUAGCAGCAAUUCCCGAAGUAAACACUGAUGCCCUAGACUUCUAGUUAUCCACCUCCACAGAAACUUGAUCUUGACAUCCAGAGUUAAAAAUGAAUCUUGGACAAGAAAUUGAAUUGGCAACCUGGUGUAAUGCAUUUUCCUUUGUUUCUGAAUCUUUCAUAGUGCAUUUUAAAGACAUUUGGCCACUUGUAUCUGCAUCAUUAUUUUCCCCUCUUCAAAUUUUAAGAUUAAAGCACCUGCAGAAACAUUCUGAGCUAUGUCUAUGCUGGAAGAUGCACAAGACUGCAUCAAAAUCAACAUCAUCAUCAAAUGAAAUUGUUUUCUUUCCCUUCUUUAACUCCUUCCCCGAUUUCAGAAUUUCAUUUAACAUUUUCUUGGGUCAGGCCUCCUCAACUAAAUUUGGUAUCACCUUGUCAUGCUCAACAAUCUUGGAAGGCUUCUCCUUUUGCAAAUUUGAAAGCUCUAUUUCAAGUUAAGCUUUCGUUUUCUUGAGGCUUCCUAGAUGAUCAGCAGCUAGGGCAUGCUAAAGGGUUAAAUUAUUGAGAGAAGUCUGAAUAACAAGUUAAUCAUCCUCUGCAUCUUCUUGUGCCCUGUUAUCAUUACCAUCGGAGACAUGACUUUCAUUUCUUUCGGUAUUCCUUGCUUGUUAAAUAGUAUAUGCCACAACAUCUAUUUCAACUUCUAAUGCCUUCACUUCACUAUAGAGUUUUGCUUGGUAUCACUCAGCUGCUGAAGUUGCUGCUGCCUCUGAAGUUCUUACAGCUGCUUGAACAUGAUGCGCUGCUGUAUCAACUGAAUAUCAUUAAACCCAGAUGGCUGCCUCAGACGAGGUUGCGGCAUAACUGGCUGUUGGGCCUUGAUGAAAUGCUCUGGAAGCUUCAGCACCAUUUCUCCUAGUAAAUCAACCCAUUCCUUUCGAACAAAAUUUUCCUUGCUCAUUGCAUCUGCCAUAUGCUUCAAAAGGAAUUUAUUUAUCACACGCUGAAUGCAUGCUUCAGUCCAACAACCAUCAGCUAUGAAUGUUACCAUUACUUCAGGCGCUUCAUGGUCACUCUUCACAUCAAGUUUAGGUAUUUGGACAAAGAGUCCAACAGAACGACCAAUGACCUAUAUGCACUGUGCCUUAAGGUCAGUUCAUUGGAUGACAUGUCAUAUACACAAUGCGACAAAAUAACCAGUGUCUGAUUCUCCGGGAUAGUAUAUAAAAGAACUCCAUGCUAAUCUUUUCAUAAGCAUGAACUAUGGCGUCAUAAUCUAAGCCAUCCAUUUCCAUAACAGGGGUCGCAUUCAAUUCACUUUUUAAGACUUGCCACAGAGUACCAAAGGGUCGGUUUCAACAAGAACACCAAGAAGAUCACAAAUAGCCGAAUGCAUAUCCAGUCCCAAGGAUUUCUCUCAUUAAUUGUGUUUCAAUGCCAACUGUGAAUUUCUAUAAUUCUGAACUCACGGCCCCGCAUAGUUCAGACCUGUCAUCGCUAAAAAUGGUCAGAAUGGGAUCUGAAGUACCAACCAUGUCCAGAACAAUAUCCUUCGAACCACUUUGACUUACUAUUUUGCCCAUUUUAACCUUCAAACGAACAUGACUAGUUGAUGCACUACCUUUUACCUUUGACCCCUCAGGUUUAUCAGUAAUGCAGUCUUCAGAGAUAGCAAAUUGUUCAUUUUCCACCCUUGUGCACUUUUCCACCAAGAUAACCGAAGAAUUCUUAUAGUACCCCUGAUUCAAACUACCAGAUUUACCUAAAAGUGGCAACUCAUAUUAUUGUUUUUUUUGCUGAGCAAGCGAAGUCUCAAGGUACACUUUCUGCAACCCUAACAAAAUCUCCAUGUAAAGUGCCAAUGAAAUUCCUUACUAAAGAAGGGUCACUCUGGCUAGCAGCUGUACGUGUUGCAUAAUCUGAAGUUCCUUGCAUGUAGUGGACACCAUGCGAUUCCAUGUGUGAGUGAAGGUCAGAGCCCACCCAAUUUCCAGUUCGUCUCCAACUCUGACCAUCUCCACUACCACUCAAAGCUGGACCUUUGAGUAAAGACUGGCAGAAGAAAAGAUUCUUUUAGGAAAGUUUAUUUGCCCAUCAAGAUCUGUUACGGUUCUAUUUUUUCUUGCUAAAUCAAGAUGGUUUAUGGAAGUGAAGGGUUUUGCAGCUUUGGAUUUGUCAGUGAGUUGCUUCUGCCCACUCUAGUUAUUACCAUUGAUCGUAUUUAACAGGAAAUCAGAUUGAUCAUCAAAUUCUGCAUGAAGUUGAAACUGUAAGUGACUAUUUUCAUCUUCACAUCUAUUUCUUGACAUGCUUUAGCCAGAUAAAGUAGCUGUGAUAUUAGAAAGCUCAGUCAUGCUAGAAGAACGACCAUUUUGGACAUUCAUGUCAACAAUAUGUUUCUUUUCAACUGGAUAAACCCUGUUACUAACAGGAGGAAGCCCAGGAACAGGGAGCCACAAUUUUUGGUGUUGCAAGGCUUUAUGAUCUCUCCAAAAUAUUUACAAGAACUUGCAAAGCACUGUGCUGUCCCCACAUGCUGAAAUCUGGACGAAGCAAAGCCAUAAGGAGGAAAUUCCCAAUUUGAUUCAACAAUCUGUUAUCAUGUGCCAAACCCCACAAACAGCCCACAUUCUACACAGCCUUUAUAAAGUCUCUACCUUUCAUAAAAUACUCAUGCCAUCAUUGUCUCCAUAGCCCAGAACACCAAAGUAAAGAAGAGGAAGAAGCGUAGAUAUAGAAGCACAAAAAAAAAGAAACCGAACAAAGAAAGAAAAAAAAACGAAAACAGGGGAAUGGAAGGCAAUGGGUGGGAAAUCUGAAUAAGUCACAUUUCAUUAUUUUCAGAAGGGCUUUGAAGAAUCUGAACACAUUAAGACAAGCUUAGUUAAAAUCAUAUCAGGAUUCCACAAACAUUAAAAUUCAAACAUAAGUCUCUGUUUCAGCUAUUUAUAAAAAGAAUCAAAGAAAUCAAGAACACAAUCAUAAUAGAGCA
rnacentral:lncRNA from 1 species